GACCAAGCCAAACAAGUUUUACAGGAAUUCUAAAAUAACAUUGCAUAAUUCUCUCUCUCUCUCUCUCUCUCUCUCUCUCUCUCUCGCUCUCUAGCUAAAGAAGGCGAAGAACAUCAAGACCCACUCAUAGUCUGAGCCUAGGCUUUGUUUGGAAUGAGAGCUACACCAACAGACUUAUAGGAUAUAUGCAAUUUUAAAACUCUCCUGGGACCCAGCAUAGCAGAACUUAUAUGUUGGAACUUGUUGGAUUUUCAUAUGGCAUAUCCAAAAGCGGAGAGUUUGGGGGCCGGCUCCAGAUUCAAUUAUUUAUAGCCAUCAACAAAGACUGAUAAGGAGUGCGUGGCUAUAUUUGUCUAAAGGGCAACUCUGUAAGGUGUGGAUGUAAUGUGCUGACGUGGUUUAUUGAAGGCUCUUAGAACCUCAGAUACUCUUAGAAGAAGUGUAUGGCUUUUGUAACACACAUUUGUACUGUACAUGAAAGCAACAAGAUUUUUUAACUCUGAAGUGUUAUGGAGAUUCCCUUCUCAUUCUUUGAGCUGUUCUUCAUCGUCUUAGCCUUCACCGUGUUCUGUGUGUUCGGCCUGGCUGCUGUCUAUAAACGCAGCCAGCACACAGGCAACCAAGGUGAAAUUAUUUGGACAGAGCAGAACAGAACCCAUCAUAAGAGUACAGUAAAAAGAAAACAGGAAUUCCAACCAUCAAGAAAAUAAACUCGGGGCUUCCAUAAACAUUCAGGCAGAGAAAAAGGCUAUUUUAUCCAUAACCUUCCAGACACUCUAUGCUCCUCAGUAUUUAUGGACCUGAUGAAUGACACUGUUACUGCAUUAAGUUGAAGUACAAGACGAUUUCUAGAAACUUGGAGAACUUUUUAAACAUCACUGCUGGGUUGUGAACAAGCCACCAACCAAAAAUAUCUUUCUAAUGGCGUCCUGCUGUCAGAAAUUGACCACGGAUUAAGGGCUAGAAGACGAUUAACAUGAUUAAUGCACUUUACCGG